GCCCCUAUGGCGUAGUGGUAGCGCGUGUCACUUGUAUGAAAAGACGCAAGAUUAUGACAAGGUCUCUCGUUCGAUCCGGGAUGGGGGCA
rnacentral:tRNA from 1 species